rnacentral:misc_RNA from 1 species
GAUGAAGAACGCAGCGAAAUGCGAUAAGUAGUGUGAAUUGCAGAAUUCAGUGAAUCAUCGAAUCUUUGAACGCGCAUUGCGACCCUUGGUAUCCCGAGGGGCAUGCCUGUUCGAGCGUCAUUUCACCACUCAAGCCUGGCUUGGUGUUGGGCGACGUCCCCUUUGGGGACGCGCCUCGAAACGCUCGGCGGCGUGGCACCGGCUUUAAGCGUAGCAGAAUCUUUCGCUUUGGAAGUCGGGGCCCCGGCUGCCGGAAGACCUACUCGCAAGGUUGACCUCGGAUCAGGCAGGGAUACCCGCUGAACUUAAGCAUAUCAAUAAGCGGAGGA